rnacentral:lncRNA from 1 species
GCGUUUUUUAACGUUUGUUCGAAAUACGUCACACAUGACGAAUCGCAGUUCGAUUGUGUUUCUCGUUGCUGUCGGACGUGCUUUUCUUUCGCUCUUGGAUUGCGUGCUGUUUUCUGCGGUUUCGUGCCUUUUACAGAGAAGAUUGAAGAUUUUUUAGGAUGAAGACGUUGGUGCGUUGUUGGAGGCGGUUCCGGCGGAGGCAGGCGGUGGCGCCGGAGGGAGAGGGUUCCUCGGACGACGCGGAACGAGUCUGUCGUUCCGUGCCGUUGGAGGAGCGGGGGCUCGACGAGCGACAGGCAGCGGGUGAAGAAGACCUUCGCCAAGUGCGCGUGGCGUGGCAUCCUCCCGGAGUCGGGAUGAUGCGACGCUACACCCUGGGUCCAGUGCGCUUGGCCGAGGUCUUCGGGGGUCAUCCGGCCACAGACCUUGCUGUGGAGGAUGUCGAAAGUGACAGCUCGUCCGAGCUGACACUUUCUGUUUGGUCGCGUUCUGCCCGUUCGUCCGCGACGGCGACGCCACCGCCUUGCCGAAGUCUGGACGGGGAGGAGUCGGAGGAGAGAGCCCCCGAAGUCGAGGGACCGUGCUGUCCGUGGUUUAGUUGCUGCGGACGGCUGCGGUUGCCUUGGCCUAGGCGGUGAUCUUCUUCGAUUUCCUCUUCUUCACCCGGAUGCGACUUUCUUACCGGAUUCGACACUUUUUACCCGGACAUGACACUUUUUAACGGACGUGACCUCUCUUACCCGGACGUGACCCACGGACUUGACACGUUUCUUCACCGGACGCGACAUUCGGCCGACCUUUCUUCCCAAACAGCUGUUAUGAGGAUUGAGCUUCCGGUUAGGGUUGGUUAGGUUAGCCUAGGCUAGCCUAACGAACCCUUCGCUCUUCUCAUAACACUGUUCGGGAAGAAAGGCUGUCUGAUUAAGGUAAUAAUCUUGACCUUAGGUAAUAAAUGAAUAAACUUCUCGUUUUCUCACUGCCUUUGUGUUUUGUAGGAACAUUUGGGAGGGAGAAGAAUCUCCCUCCCCAACUUUACCACGAAGAGGACCAUUUAUCGUACAAGUGAAUAUUUUCCGAUGACAUGCCGAAGAUGUUCUUCGAUCACACACAUACACACACACGCACGGACAUAACACCACUGUACACGAAGAUAUACACCGUUUAACCUUUACUCGAAUUCUCGCACUCACGCACUUACACGUCAAGCGCCUCGUUCUGUGUAAUUCCACACAAUGAAACAACCCGAACACAC